AACACGUCUCUGCUAUUCAUUUCCAAUUUCCAGAGCUCUGUAUGAGUUGGCAAAUAUCCAUCAUCCACAAAGGGCCCAGGCUGAUUUUAUCCCCAACAAAUUGGUGUCAGAAGUUUGGGUGCAAUUAGGAACGGAGUUGCAGGUAAGGGGGUCUUUAGCCCCUUGGGGACACAACUUCUGGAAUUUAAGGGAAUCAUGACGGAGUAUUUCUGUCGUGUGUCCUUAAGGGGUUGGGGACCUUUGCCUGCUUCUGCCAUCCUCCCACACAUUGCAUUUCUUGUUUUAAUGGGGUUUUUCACUAUUUACAUUUUUAAAGGGGAUUUUCACAGGAUAAUGUCUUUGGUAGACAUGGUAUUUUGUUAAGUCUUAGGUAGACUUCUAUUACUCCACGGGUUGGAGGAUUGCCUUUGGUAGGUAGUAGUAGUUAUUGUGCACAUUUCCUCUUUGGUAAAAGGUUCACCUUUGGCCAGGUGUUAAAAAGAAUUUUAAGCCUUUGGUAGGCUGUGAUGUACCUGUGAUGUACAUUUACAUAUGGGAGACGUCCCUAGAUCCCUCUUUGGUAGAGGUUGCCUUUGGUAGGUUGUAAAACAGAUUUCCAGUCUUUGGUGGCCUGUGGUAUUUAUUUAACG